CCCUUAGAUGUUCUGGGCCGCACGCGCGCUACACUGAUGCAUUCAACGAGUCUAAAACCUGCUCUGAUAGGGGUGGGUAAUCUUUUGAAUGUGCAUCGUGAUUGGGAUAGAUGAUUGCAAUUUUUCAUCUUCAACGAGGAAUGCCUAGUAAACGCAAGUCAUCAGCUUGCAUUGAUUACGUCCCUGCCCUUUGUACACACCGCCCGUCGCUCCUACCGAUUGAAUGAUCCGAUGAAUAUCAUGGAUUGAGGAUGCAAGCAGGUUCGCCUGUCUUCAUCUUCGAGAAGUGAAGUAAAUCUUAUCAUCUAGAGGAAGGAGAAGUCGUAACA
rnacentral:rRNA from 1 species